AGUCGUAGUUUUUCUACAAUAAUAGCAACUAGAAUCUGCCAGGACCUGUCCCAAACAACUUCCGCCGACGGCAUCGGCAACCGCCAGAGGAGCGACAAUAAAGCCACUUCCGCCAGUACUGAUACCGCUGUCUGAGGGCCAUCUAGUGGUAGGUUUCGGAUACUGCAGAGUUGAUGCUACAUGGCACCCAAGGGCAGGUUGCUGAGCUUUUGGCUGUAUUGAUUUAUUUACUUCUUUCAUUUCAUUAACACGGUUUUUUUCCUGCGUCUUCACGGGAAAUUGCCAGGUUUCAGUCCUCCUGCAACUGGAUCCAGUUGAAUCAUGCAAUUAGUAAUAUUUUUGGACAGGAUGUAAAACUAAUCUGGGAAGUUUUGGCUGCCCCUGGUGAUUAAAAACCAUCUGGCACUUAUGACAAGAGUAGCUCUUCAUCCUGAAGAUAUAACCAAAUCUAGGUACAGUAACUGCAUUCUGUGUCCCUACAUUGCCCUUGCAAUUCCAGUUUUUAAAAUGUAUCCCUUAGUUCCCUGCCUAAAAAUAGGCUUUGGGAUAAUUUGACAGUCACUACAGGUUAUCAGCAAAGGAAGAAAUUGGUAUUUUUCUAAUAAUUUUAUUUUAGGGUGAGGUUACACUAUAUGGCUGGGAUUAAGUCCAUAGGGCCACAGAAGGUGGUUUGCUGCCUCUUUUAUAGCAUGUACCUGGGAGGUCCAGGUAUCUACCAUGAUAGGGCUGAACCAUAAAAUGAAAUAAAUCAAUGGAUUCUAAACAGGGACUCAAGUGGGGCUUUGUUGAGAGGAUGUACUUUUAGAGAACCCUGGGACUAGAAUGUUCUUAAAGCUUUCAAUGGUAUAUCAAGUCUUUGGGAACAUAUUUUAUCUGUUUAUACCUUUUCCUUCAGAAUCCCAUUUAUACCCUUGCUAAGCUUGUUUGAGGAUUCUAUCAUAUUUUUGUAAGACCCUAUCUCUAUCCUUCCUCUCCUGUAGGGACAUUCUAGUUCUAGGUUCCAGUCUUGCAAGCACCUAUGUAACUGUUUUAACUCUAAACUCCUGAGUAGACUCCUGGAAGUUGAUGAGACUACCCUUGUGCUUAAAGUUAAGUAUCUUUAUAAAGGGGGCCCUAAUUAUGGCUUUAAGCUCUGUGUGGAACAGUGGUUAUUUGAGGAGCACAGACUGAGAAGUUGUAAAGACUACCACACCAACCUGCUUGCUGGUGCAUUUCAAUAGUAGCAGAUGAUGCCUGCAAAGCACUCUGGGAUCUCUUGGGAUAUUAUACUUUGUAAUUUUCUGUUAAAAUAGCAGUGCACCACUGGUCAUUUGCUUCUGGUCCCACAUCUCCCCAACGGUGCUGCUGAUCGUCAGUUAACGUUCCACUCAAGCCCCAUCAGUAUUAACACAUGCUGGCACAUUCUCUUGAAUUUUACUUGGGUCACUCGGCAAUGAACUAGGUGCAUUCAACCUGCUCAGCAGACAUCACCGUUAGAAUUUUAAACUCUGCAAGUUUCCAAUGUGACUAGUGAUUUAACAAUUUGAAUAAACCCAUUUAUUGUUUCGUAUGUUCAAAGGCCAGAAGGGGCCAUUGUGAUCAUCUACUCUGACCUCUUACACAGCACAGGCCAGUGACCUUCCCCAAGAUAAUUCCUAGAGCAGAUCUUUAAAAAAAAAAAAAAAAAAUCCAUUGUGUACAUUGUAUUUUAUGAAUAAAGCCAUCACUUAAUGUAAAAAACAACCUUGAUCUUUAUUUUUGAGGCAUUUUUGUAACUACACUUUUCUGAUUGACACCAGCUAUUCACAGUACUGUGAGGUGCAUAACAUUCAGUGUUCUAAAGUUUUUUUCUAUUUACUAACUAGCCUGUUCAUAAAUAUUUUCAAGGAAAGAUCUUUAUCCCUGGAACUGUCUGGUUAAAUUUUAUACAGCAUAGCUAAAUAACCAUAAUCCAUGUUACUGAGAGAUCUCCAUAAAUUCCAUUUGGCUGCUACAUGUACGGUGUUUUGAAGAAAUAAGAUACAGCUCAAAAUGAAUUGCUAAAACAUGCAUUCCAUAUAGUGUGAAAACUCUGCGUCAGAACCUGCUGUUGAAAAAUGUUUUAAAAUAAACUUUCCUUCCCUAUGGGA